rnacentral:rRNA from 1 species
CCUACGGGGGGCAGCAGUGAGGAAUAUUGGUCAAUGGGCUUACGCCUGAACCAGCCAAGUCGCGUGAGGGAAGACUGCCCUAUGGGUUGUAAACCUCUUUUGUCAGGGAGCAACGCCGGCUACGUGUAGCCGGACUGAGAGUACCUGAAGAAAAAGCAUCGGCUAACUCGGUGCCAGCAGCCGCGGUAAUACGGAGGAUUCGAGCGUUAUCCGGAUUUAUUGGGUUUAAAGGGUGCGUAGGCGGAAUGCAAAGUCAGCGGGAAAAUCGCGGGGCUAAACCUCGCUCCGCCGUUGAAACUGGCGUUCUUGAGUGGGCGAGAGGUAUGCGGAAGGCGUGGUGUAGCGGUGAAAUGCAUAGAUAUCACGCGGAACUCCGAUUGCGAAGGCAGCAUGCCGGAGCCCAACUGACGCUGAAGCACGAAAGCGUGGGUAUCGAACAGGAUUAGAUACCCUUGUAGUC